CUAAAUCACCUCCCCCCGUCUCUCUCUCUCUCUCUCUCUCUCUCUCUCUCUCUCUCCCUCAACUGCAACGCGCCCAUCCCCUCCCCCCUCCUUUGUUCUCCUGAUAGAGCACAAUUUAAGCUUCUAUACUAGGUCAGCUAGACACAUAAGUACCCCUCAUCGAGAUUCUCCUGAAGAGGAUGGGCAUUUAGAGUUGCAAGAAUCAGCGAGGCUAAGAGAUCGAGAAUUGUUGAAUAGGAAUAAGCGGAGAAUAGGAGAUAGGUUGGUGCUAGGGAUUAGCAGAGAAGAAGGGGAAGAAACAACGGAAGAGAGCGCCUGUGAUGAAGAGGACUAUGAAAUUGAUGACGGUAGAGUGUCUCGGAUGCUUCCUCCCAAUGCAACAUCCUCUUCCUCGGUGCUUCCAAGCCACAGCCACCGGAAGAGCCUGCCUCCGACGAGAGUUGGUUUCAGACAAGUGCCAUCUUUGAAGGUCCCUAAUGAAAUGAUUGGUGUGUCUGUACCGAGGAAGGCUCGCUCAGCUUCUGUGAAAAGGUCGCACGAGAGUUGGGUUCAGGAAAUGGUGGAUUUGGGGAAGACCUCAAACACCGGCGAGCUUCCACUUCAUCGGUGAGUCGGAGCGCUGAGGCUUCGCCACCUUCAUCGUCGGACAUUUCAGUUAGAAAGAAGAUGAAACUCAAUGGACCCAAGACUCGUUUUUCCAAAGUGUGGAAAUCUACGGUCCACGAGGAUAUCGAGAUUGAGAUCGCAGAGGUUUUGUAUGGGUUAAUGAAGCAAUCGCAGGGCUCCAAGGAGGAGAAGGACGCUGAAAAUUCUUUGCAGAAGCUUGAAUCUAAGGAUGCAAAUGGUGCUAUUCACGAUUCCAAGUCAUCCCUGACCCCAGUCUCUGUCCAGAGCUCUUUUUUCUCCCAAAACAGUAAGCCCUACGACCGAUCCCAUCCUUGCUUCAAAGAAGCAAAAAUUAGAGGCUGAAACAGCACCAUUCCAAAACAGUUCAAUUGCUUCUUUAGUUAAAGAUGAAAGCGAGCAGCCUGUGAAAAUGGAACUUGUUUCACCAAAAGUGGAGAAAAUUUCUACAUAUAAUGUGGAACCUUGUGAAGAUUCGCGUAAUAUGGGUGAUUCUCGAGCUGCAUCCUAGUCACCAGAAUUGCAAGAGGAGGUAAUUAAGCAAGUGGAUUCAAAAUCGGCGAUUGAAGAACCUGGAGUUGCUAGCGACGAAAAAUCUGUGUCACCAGAGGAGGAAUUGGCUUCCUGCACUAAAUUGGAUGUUGAUUUCUAAGAUUCAACAGUGAAGAAAGCGUGGGCAUAAAAGAAGCUUUUGUUUUCUUUCUUUUUUGCCAGUGAUCCUUUCGGGAUAUCUGAUUUUCCCCCCUAUACUAUCUGCUCUGGUUUCUCAGCAUUUCAAAUACAUCAGAGGUAGAGGGCCAGCGCAAGGAGAAGUUCAAGAUCGAUUUGAUGGCUCCUCCUCCUAUGGUAUCUUCUCCAGAACGAGAUGGCUUUAUUGAUUUGUCAUCGGAUCCUAAACCUACUUCCGAGGAUGUGGAAAUGAAGACAGAAAAUAAGGUUAAAAACGAAGAACAAGUGCAAGAAUCGGUGAAGGAAGCAGCAGUUGUGGAAGUUAAAGAUAAGAAGAUAAAGGUAAUUGGAGAAAAGCCUAAAUUAAAGCUUGAUCUGGAAGCUGGAUCACGACUGUACCAAUGACGAUGCUGCUAAAUGACAGCAGAAACAACCACCUAAAGCUGCUAUUUCUGAAUUGGAGACAACUGUUGAAUCGAGCUUAGUGCAUUUACCAAUUGCUGUCUCUAGUUGGCCAAGUGGUCUUCCGCCUUUCGGGUGCGAUAUUUUAUUAUUAGACUAAUUCUUCUCGCAUGUAAUCAGUUUUGAUACUACUGUUGAAAAUACAUCGAGUUGAGGCAACAAAAGUAAUUUAUAUUUAUUGACAGAUACAUGCCUCCCUUCCAGACAGUCGUGCCAAUGGAUGGGACUACUGGAUCAUCCACAGCAACAUAGGUAUCAUGUGUUUGUUCGUCAGGAUUACAACUUAGACAUAUAUCUUUUUUUCCCCCCGAAUUAUCAAUCAUUAUUAAAUUUGCUGUUGAAUUUUCAAAUUAUGGGCAGCCUCCUCGUUUUCUUCUUACACAACCUCGCUCGAAGAGAUGUUCGACCCACCAUUAUAUUGCUAGCAACAUUUGCUUGCAUCAGCAAUUCACAAAGAUGAACAAUUUCUGGGCACCAGCAGCUGGCUCCGUCACUCUUCCUGUAACCAAACCCAAUAAUACCAAUGCCAUGUCUUCAAUGGAGAAUAUGAUUAUUAGAAAUCCAUUGCAAGGGAGCUUUCCAGUUGUGAAUGCCAACACUGCCCAGGACAAAGGGCAGGCUGUGGCAAAUUUUCCUGUUUUUACUUGGAAAGAUAGAAAUGUUGAGGGGGCCAACUGCAUAGACACAGCACAGAAAAAUCUCCACAGCCAGCCUCAGCUGGUAAUUUGAUGGUAUUGUCUUAUCCUGUUCAUUCAUUGUAAUUCGUUUUUGACUCGGCCCAUAGAUCUUGUCCUGUUGUUCCAGUUUAUAUUUUGAUCUAGAGGUAUCUCUUGUAUGGUCA